GGGGUACAAAAUUUUUGUCUGAUA
rnacentral:misc_RNA from 1 species